GACGAACGCUGGCGGCGUGCUUAACACAUGCGAGUCGAACGAUGAAGCAGAGAAACGCGCACUUCGGUUCAAAUUUCACUUCGGAUUAGUGGCAGACGGGUGAGUAACGCGUGAGCAACCUACCUCUUACAAAGGGAUAGCCUCGGGAAACCGUGAUUAAUACCAUAUGACACAUUCAUAAGGCAUCUUAAGAAUGUUAAAGCUACGGCGGUAAGAGAUGGGCUCGCGUCCCAUUAGCUAGUUGGUGAGGUAACGGCCCGCCAAGGCGACGAUGGGUAACCGGCCUGAGAGGGUGAACGGUCACAUUGGAACUGAGACACGGUCCAAACUCCUACGGGAGGCAGCAGUGGGGAAUAUUGCACAAUGGAGGGAACUCUGAUGCAGCGACGCCGCGUGAGCGAUGAAGGAAUUCGUUUCGUAAAGCUCUGUUCUAUGGGAAGAAAAGGACUGUACCAUAGGAGAAAGCCCCGGCUAAAUACGUG
rnacentral:rRNA from 1 species